CCUCUCUCUCGCAGCCUCGCUCCACCGCCUACCCUCUCUCUCACUCCACUGCCUACCCUCUCUCUCUAUAGCCCUAAGCCUUUGAUGAACUCAUACAGAGGGCUUCUAAGCUGGUUUCUUAAGACACCCAGAAUCCAAAACAGGAUGAUCUCAACACUUCGAUUCAUGGGUCUUUUAGGAAAUCUAGCUUCUCUUGAGAUUUGAAGAAGAUUUGGGGGAUUUAUUAUCAGAAGUGCAGAAGAUUACGGCAGUUCUAUUAUCGUUGUUGUUGCUGCUGCUAUCGGAUGCCUUGGAUUUGGGCUUUGGUCAUUAUGUGAAGGGUUCAUGGACGAAGGCUCUCCUUGUUUCUCUCCUUCUACAGCUUUCAUGUUUGUACACAACAGUUUCUAUUUUGUACCAAGGAAUUAAGAUGCUAAGGAAGAAAAGAAGCCACAAGGGUCUUGAUUCGUAUGAAGGAAAGUCCCUGAAGUUGCUCUCUGUUAUGGCUGCAAUCCGUUUGGAUGACAAGGAUGAUAAAAUCGAGACUACUCUCUCACUUGCUCUAGCAGAGUCGGCGAAUGGCAAUGUUACUGACAGGAGCAUCAUUUCAUCUGACCCACUGGCUUCAACACUUGGGAAGAGGUGAUAUUUUUAGCUUCUGAAACUCUUUCUUGAUGUGUUUGGCCCAUGAACUUUCUUAUUGAUCACAAAGACUUGGUAUGAAGAAGGAUAUUUCACAAUAAGGAAUGAAAAAUAGCAAAGGUAAUCUCUAUCAAUCUUAUUUACCAAGAAGGCUCUUGAACAUCUCUCUUUUGCAUUUGCAUCCCUUGAUCAAUUUCAAGAAUAAUAAUAUGAAAGAAGAAAUUGAUGGGAAUUCAAAUGUUGCAACAAAAACACAAGUAUGAAAUCACUACUACUAGAUUUAUGGCUCUAACUUAUAGGUGGAUGAACAUAUUCCACACAUGGAAGCAGACCCAUUUCGAAAGAACCUUAAAUACAUGCAAUGUUCAUGUUAGAUCAUAUUGAGAAUGCUAGAAGUUAUCAACAUGAAUGAUUUUGCAUAUUGAGAAUGUUGAAAGCUAUCGACAUGAAUGAUUUUGCAUGUAAUCUGAUUACAUACAAGCACACAGUAGAACUCAUAUGCAUUUGUUUGUUUACACUUCCAAAUAAGUUGAUUAUAAUCUUCUCUUUCGUAUCCAUAUGUGAUGAACAAAUCUGUAUUUUGGGUUGUUUGGCAACUAGGAAUUUACAAGUUGCUAAAGAAUUUAUUUUCUGGAAAUAAAUUCUAUAUGAGAAACUGAUUGGGUGCACCUUACCAUCUAAGUUCUCUUCGGCCAUCUAGGAAUUUAUAAGUUCUCUUUUUGCCAUGACCCAACCAAAUCUAAUUGGGUGUACCUUACCAUCUAAUCUUUGGCCAUCUUUUUCCUAAAAAAUUGAUAUUUAUAUUCUUUGACACUGCUUAUCAAAUUAAAGUUUAUAUCUCACAACUACUGGCCGCACUUGUAACAGGUAAUAGGACACUUCAACCUAAUACAGGUCAGGAUCAAAUCAUGGGCAUACAUGUAUUGAUCCAAACUCAAAUCAUGGGCCCAUCUUUAUACGAGGCAGGGCCUCAAAUUAAGAUUAUUUGGGAAAUUGUUAGUUUUAACCUCUGAUGUUGAUUUGUAGAACUGGUUAGAUUUAGCAUGGAUUUUAUGUUUAGAUUUGUUGAACUGGUUAGAAAAUGCUUUCCUAUUAAGGGUUCAGGGCAUGUUCGGGUGCCACUUAAAAUGAGUUCAUCUCAUUUAGUUAACAUUAGUAGUGCAUCAGAGAUCAUAAAUGGUUGGUUAUCAUGAUGACAUUUAAUUCUACACAAAAAAGUUUUAAAAAGAAGAUCCCUAAUACAUAAUUAGGAAUAACUAAAAUGAGAUGAAUUCAAU